AUGGGCUGUGAGACAAGCAAGGUCCUUCCUGAGCCACUCAAGGAUGUCCAGCUGGAUCUGGUCAAGAAAGUGGAGCCCUUCAGUGGCACUAAGAACGAUGUAUACAAGCACUUCAUCACAGAGGUGACAGUGUUGGCCCUCUCAAAGCUGGCUUCCCAGCUACCAGUCAGUAUACACCUCCCUACCCUGGUGUUCCCACUACUGGCCACACAGAGCCUCCUUCAGAACCACCACGCAGGGCCAGGGUGGCAAAGUACAGGGCCAAAUUUGACCCACGCAUGACAGCUAAGUAUGAUAUAAAAGCCCUAAUUGGGCGAGGCAGCUUUAGCCUCAUGGUAUGUGUGGAGCCCCGGGCAACCCGACAGCCAUAUGCUAUCAAGAUGAUCAAGACCAAGUACCGAGAAGGGCGGGAGUUGUGUGAGUCCGAGCUCUGAGUGCUGCACCGGGUGCACCACGCCAACAUCAUCCAUCUGGUAGAGGUGUUUAAGACACAGGAGCGUGUGCAUAUAUGGUAAUGGAGCUGGCCACUGGGAGUGAGCUCUUUGGAUUAUUGCCAAGGGUUCUUUCACUGAGCGAGAUGCCACAAGAAUGCUGCAGAUGGUACUGGAUCGUGUCCGGUAUCUUCAUGCCCUUGGCACUACACACCAGGACCUCAAGCCUGAGAAUCUCCUUUACUACUACCACCCAGGCACUGACUCCAAGAUCAUCAUCACUGACUUUGGCUUGACCAGUGCCCGGAAGAAAGGUGACGACUGCCUGAUGAAGACCACGUAUGGCACACCUGAGUAUAUUGCUCCUGAGGUUCUGGUGCGAAAACCCUACCCCAAUUCUGUGGACAUAUGGGCACUGGGUGUCAUUGCCUACAUCCUACUCAGCAGUAUCAUGCCCUUUGAGGAUGACAACCGCACCCAGCUAUGCCAGCAGAUCCUCAGGAGCAAAUACAGUUAUUUGGGGGAUCCCUGGCCUAGUGUAUCUAAUCUGACCAAGGAGUUCAUUGACUGCCUGCUGACCGUGGACCCUGGAACCCGAAUGACUGCACUGUAGGCCCUAAGACACCCAUGGGUAGUAAGCAUGGCAGCCUCUUCAUCCAUGAAGAAUCUGCACCGAUCCAUCUCCCAGAAUCUCCUCAAACAUGCUUCCUCUCGUUGCCCAGAGUACCAAAUCUUCCCAGUCCACACGUUCCAGCUGCUCCACACGUUCGAACAAGUCACGCCGUGGUCGGGAGCGCGAACUACGGGAGCUUAACCUGCUCUAUCAACAGCAGUAUAAUGGCUGAGCCACCAGCUAUGACAUGGACACAGUAUUGUCUCAUCUGGACACCUUCUGCCAUGUCACCUGGGCCUAAUACCUUUUCUAUAGCUAGACCUCAUGCCCAGCAGUAUGUAGAGCAUGUCUGGGCCCAGCUCCUCUCUGUACCUUUAGUAGCCCCUACCUCCUAUCAUGGGCCUGGCCUGUUAGGAUGGAAUGGUGGCAGGACUGAGUCUCCACUGAUCUCCUUAAUUUUUGCCAGUUUCUUGGACCAAGCGGAGCUACUGUGUUGG